UACGAGGGGGGCAAGCGUUGUUCGGAAUUAUUGGGCGUAAAGGGCGCGUAGGCGGUUUGGCAAGUCUAGUGUGAAAUCUUCGGGCUCAACUCGAAGUCUGCACUGGAAACUGCCGGGCUUGAGUAUGGGAGAGGUGAGUGGAAUUUCCGGUGUAGCGGUGAAAUGCGUAGAUAUUCGCAAGAACACCAGUGGCGAAGGCGGCUCACUGGCCCGGUACUGACGCUGAGGUGCGAAAGCGUGGGGAGCAAACAGG
rnacentral:rRNA from 1 species